CCCCGCUGGCAAUCUUCAAGCCGCCAGUCAAGCCCCCUCCAACUCGAGUCGUUCGUCGACCUGACCCAACACUCCACCCUCCCGUUUUCAUUUUCUUCACGAGGGCUUGAGCUGAACGGCCCAACAGCCUCCACCUCUUCGCUGCUGCUUCUUCACGCCAGCAACAACCAGCAUCCAAACAACCACCAAACAGUCGCAUACCUCCCUCUCUCAAUAUCACCCAAACAAACCAUGACCUCCUUCUUCUUCGCUCCAAAAUCAGAAGCACCGGCUAGUUCGAGUUCGAAUCUUCUUUUGUUGAAGUUAAUUGGUCGAGUUCAUGUUUUUAUUUUCUUUCGUCGAGGUCGUUGACAGUCUCGUUGAGGUUGUCGUGCAAGAUUUGGUGACGGAUUGGCCUUUGCUCCAGUUUUCUUUUCGAUUUUUAAUUGUAUAUCAGGUAUGAAUCUCGAUCUGAAAUUCUGAAAUUGUCGAUCCGUUUGGCACUAUUUUCUUAUGUUCCGACGUCUCCUUUGGGUUGUUGAGACAUAGGUCCACGAUUAGCUCGUUGACGCUUUCAAUUUGCGCUAAUUGUUUACUACUUCUGUUUUGUUAAAGUAAGUUGAUUCACAUUCCUUGCUCACGUAGUUUAUUGUUAUUGCUCUUUAUGUGAGACGUCUUUAUUCUUACGGAGGCAAUUCUUUUUUCUACCUAAACACUGUCAACCUUUGUUUCCCCCUUUGAGCUGUAUUUGUUCUUUCAUAUCCCUCUCUUGGUAUCGUGAAAGAAAAAAAAGAAAAAAAGAAAAAUGAUAAGAAAAACAUAAGAAAACAAAUAUUUAGGAACUACAUUUGACCUUAUUCCUCAAGAAAGGAUACGUAGGAUCCUCACGACUCGGUCAUAGUGUGACGAAAUGUCGAGAAAAAUCAAAAAUCCCCAAGGAGAAAACUGGGGCGAAAGUUAGGUUGUUAGAAAAUUUUUGAUUCCAAGAGUUGCGGACUCUCACCCAUCGAAGUCACUUCGAAUUUUUGAUACCCUUUUUCUUUAAAGCACACAAAACCCACAUGUUAUAACCAAAAAAGACCUCCCGAUCAGUUUCCGAAAGGUGUCGAUUCAUGCAAGUGGAAGCCAGGAAUAAUACAUUGAUCCCCAGACGAGGGAAGAUUAUGAGCUGAGGGAACUACUAUCAGGAAUCCCUAGCAGAAAUCCCUAGAAGAAUCGCUAGCCAAAGGAAUACCCGGUAGAGUUGAUAGCAAAAGAAUUCCCCAGUAGAGAGAAUCUUAUUGGUAACGCUCCCAUUCCCAACUGAGAAAAUAAAAUGAGAGAGUCUUAUCGUUGAAAACCUUUACAUGCACCAUAAGGUGACGAAAGCUAAGAGAAAACAAAAUGGGAGAGUCUAAUUAGUGAAAAAACCUGGAAGGGCACUAUGAGGCGACAAUAUAAGAUUAGCAGAAAGGAUCCGAAUUUGGGCAAAAGUUGGGCACCUAUUUAUCCCCAGCAAAUGAAGCCAUCAGAAAUUGAUUAAUACCAAUAGACUGGGUCGAUUAUUACAGAAUAUAUGACAUGAUCAUCGGGGCCAUCAUAUCACCCAGAUAAGUCUUUUCUUUUCUUUUCUUUUUCCCAGCGUUCGUUCAGAAAGAUUUUUUCCCUUUUUGUAUCAUUUCUUUUGACUUUCCCCAGCAGUUUAUUUUUGAGAAAGUUUUGUCAGGGUUUGCAACCUGUUGCCAAAUGGUACAAGGCAAAAUACGAAUAAGGCCAGCGGAAGACAAGGCAACAAAACGAAAGAGCUUUGUUGCAAGGCCCUCUUGAAUAGAAUGGCCUUGUUUGAAUUGGUGUGGAGUUGGUUAGGUUUUGUUUACAAAAGUGACCAAUUAAUUCCACCGGAUGGGUCCAGAAUAUCAGGAGAAGUAUGGGAAAGGCUGGAAAGGCAAUAGUUGGGAAAACGUGGACCAAAUUGCAAGAGAAUCCCCGGCAGGAGUGGCACAACCACUCACCAUGUUUUGAACUAAUAAAGUUUUCUUUGAUUUGAAGUAGAAAAAGAAAUGCUGAUAAUGGCAGAAGGGUGUACCACAAGGGAGAGCGCCAGAAUUGGGGCAGAAAAUUUUCUGCCUUUGUCGAAACUUUCCUCGGAAAGGGGGGAAACUGAAUUCAACUUAUGGCUUUAUCUCAUAUUUGAUAAUGGCAGAAGGGCGUACCACAAGGGUGAGCGCCAGAAUUGGGGUAGAAAAUUUUCUGCCUUUGUCGAAAAUUUCCUCGGAAAGGGGGGAACCGAAUUCAAGUUAUGACUUCAUCUCAUAUGACUAUGAGUCAUAUAGCUUUGCAUCCUACAUAGCUUUGAAUCCUACAUCUCAUGUGACUACGUGUCACUUUGCAUCUACAUCUCAUAUGACUACGUGUCAUUUUGCAUCUAUAUCUCAUGUGACUACGUGUCACUUUGAAUCUGCAUCUCAUAUAAUCGCAUCGCAUAUAACUCUAGUCAUAUAGCUUUGCAAUUAUGACUUGAAAUCGGUAACCCACGUAAGGUAGAAGGUUACAACAAAAGCCCCAGCAUAACAAAUGUUGAUGAAAGAAAUCCAUCUCCCCGGUGGAAUUGCCAAGAAACGUAAUGAAGGAAGCCAUAUCCCCAGCAGAACAAGCAAAUAUCAACGAAAACUAGUGUUCAGACAGGCAAAAGGUCAGUGUCAUCCCCAGGCUCCCGGAAGAAAGAAGCACCGGAAGAAACACAAGCUGACAAGAAAGCAAGGCCAGCAAAAACAAAUUGAAGAUAGAUAGGAUCUUGUGAUCCGUAGGCUAGCCUAGCUUCUUGUUUUUCUCUUUGACACGGUAUAAUAAGGAGAUCAGUAAAGCAGUGGUAACAACACACAGCAGCCGUAUCGGCAAAACUAACUUCUUGUUUUAUUCUUUGACAUAGUGUAAUAAGGAGACCAGUAAGGCAAUGGUAACAGUAUACAGCAACAGUAACAGCAGAACCACAGUUCCCCGGUAGUCCCAGCUACCAAGACUUCCCUAACUACAUUGACCAGAUUCCCUUUUAGCCAGGGAUAUGUAGGAAACCUUUGAAGCAAAGGUUCGGUCAAUUAUUUCAAAAAAUGCUUAACACGGAUUACUUAAAUGGGCAAAAAUCGCUCGUAUCCGCUCACUUUAUCUUUGCACGAAAACUCUUCGUGUUUCCGGACAAAGAGGGGCGGCUGUGAGCACGUAAUAUUUAUCCUAUAUGAGAAUUACUUCCAAAAAAUUAAAAAUAAAACAAUAUUUUUUUUAUUUGCAAUUACUGUGAAUUUUGUGUUAUUUCUCUUGUAUUGUUUGCAUUAUGUCUGUGCAUGAAUUAUUUGUUAAAUUAAUUAAAGAAAAUACAAAAAUAUGCUGCAUUUGUAUUUAAGAUUUAAUUUUACAGUUAGGAUUAAUUAAGUAACUUGUUUUACAAAAAUGAAACACAAAAAUAAUGUACUUUGUGUUAUGAAAUAAUAUAAAAGACAAGAACAAUAUAGAGAGAAUAGAGAGAGAGAAGUAUUCUNNNNNNNNNNNNNNNNNNNNNNNNNNNNNNNNNNNNNNNNNNNNNNNNNNNNNNNNNNNNNNNNNNNAUUGAUACUUGGGAUUGUUAGGGAUGAUUUACAAUGGUAGAAGACCCCUUUAUUUAUAGGGAGGGGGAUGAUUUUGCUACCAAGAAUAGAACUCUAGAAUCUCUCUAAUUAUAGACAUUCACCUUAUAGACAUUCACCUUAAAUAGGAGAUUUCAUAAUACUUUGCAUUUUUUUUGUUUAAUGUCAAAUUGUGUGAUUUUCUUAAAAUUUGAUAUUAAAUUUUUUGUGAUGACUUAGAGUUAAUUAUUAUGUUAGGAUAAUUUGGUCAAGUAUUAUUAUUUUAGCCACCCUUACCGCCUGAACCCCNNNNNNNNNNNNNNNNNNNNNNNNNNNNNNNNNNNNNNNNNNNNNNNNNNNNNNNNGCUGCCGGUCAACCCCCCUCCAACUCAAGUCGUUCGUCGACCUGACCCAACACUCCACCCUCUCGUUUUCAUCUUCUUCACGAGGGCUUGAGCUGAACGGCCCAGCAGCCACCACCUCUUCGCUGCUGCUUCUUCACGCCAGCAACAACCAGAAUCCAAACAACCACCAAACAGUCGCACACCUCCCUCUCUAGUCUCACCCAAACGAACCCUGAACUCCUUCUUCGCUCCGAAAUCAGAAGCACCGGCGAGUUCGAGUUCGAAUCUUUUUUUGUUGAAGUCAAUUAGUCGAGUUCAUGUUCGGGUUUUCUUCCGUCGAGGUCGUUGACAGUCUCGUUGAGGUUUUCCGUUCAAGAUUUGGUGACGGAUUGGCCUUUGCUCCAGUUUCUUUUCGAUUUUUAAUUGUAUAUCAGGUAUGAAUCUCGAUCCGAAAUGCUGAAAUUGUUGAUCCAUUUGGCACUAUUUUAUUAUGUUCCGACGUCUCCUUUGGGUUGCUGAGCCAUAGGUCCAUGAUUAGCUCGUUGACGAUUUCAAUUUUUGCUAAUUGUUUACUGCUUCUGUUUUGUUAAAGUAAGUUGAUUCACAGUCCUCGCUCACGUAGUUUAUUGUUAUUGCUCUUUAUGCGAGGCGGCUUUGUUCUGAUUGUGACUCGAUCUUUGCUUGAUUCUGUUGUUAUUGAGACAGCAUUUAUAGUAGAUUUUUGAUGGAAUUAAAAUGAAGGUUAGUUUUGUUAUUUCAGAAAACGAAGUCAGUGAAGGCUCCAUCUUCUCCUCUCGUCAUUUAUGCUACUUUGAAUAAUUGUUUCCUGAAUAUUUUAGUGUUGCCAUUUGUUUUGUUUGAUGCCAUUUUAAUUUUGCUGCUUUUAGGAAUAUUGUGGAUGUUAUAUAAUUACUAUGAUCAAUUAGUGAAAGUUUUCAGUUUGAUUUUGGAAGUAAUCGUGUUUUAAAUAGGAGGAGUUUUAAUAAUUGGGGACUGGAAUUUGGGCAUAUUUGGUUAAGUUAAUGGCCAGUUGUUUUGGCACUAAUAAAGUAGCUUAUAACAUUAGUUUAAUAAUUUGGGGUACGAAACAUAUUGG
rnacentral:lncRNA from 1 species